AUUGAACGCUGCGGCAGGCUUAACACAUGCAAGUCGAGCGAGCGGCGGACGGGUGAGUAAUGCUUAGGAGUCUGCCUAUUAGUGGGGGACAACAUCUCGAAAGGGAUGCUAAUACCGCAUACUAAUAAAUAAGCCUAAGUCGGGUUAGCUAGUUGGUGGGGUAAAGGCCUACCAAGGCGACGAUCCGUAGCGGGUCUGAGAGGAUGAUCCGCCACAAUGGGACUGGAACACGGCCCAGAACCCUACGGGAGGUAGCAGUGGGGAAUAUUUGACAAUGGGGGGAACCCUGAACCAGCCAAGCCGCGUGUGUGAAGAAGGCCUUAUGGUUGUAAAGCACUUUAAGCGAGGAGGCGUUACUCGCAGAAUAAGCACCGGCUAACUCUGUGCCAGCAGCCGCGGUAAUAC
rnacentral:rRNA from 1 species